UUUAGUUGCCAUCAUUGAGUUGGGCACUCUAAAGAGACUGCCGGUGUCAAACCGGAGGAAGGUGGGGAGUGACGUCAAGUCCUCAUGGCCUUUAUGACCAGGGCUACACACGUACUACAAUGGCCGGUACAAAGGGCAGCGACACAGCGAUGUGAAGCGAAUCCCGAAAAGCCGGUCUCAGUCCGGAUUGGAGUCUGCAACUCGACUCCAUGAAGUUGGAAUCGCUAGUAAUCGCGGAUCAGCACGCCGCGGUGAAUACGUUCCCGGGCCUU
rnacentral:rRNA from 1 species